rnacentral:rRNA from 1 species
GUCCACGCCGUAAACGUUGGGCACUAGGUGUGGGGACCUAUCGACGGUUUCCGUGCCGCAGCUAACGCAUUAAGUGCCCCGCCUGGGGAGUACGGCCGCAAGGCUAAAACUCAAAAGGAAUUGACGGGGGCCCGCACAAGCAGCGGAGCAUGUUGCUUAAAUUCGAGGCAACGCGAAGAACCUUACCUGGGCUUGACAUGUAGGGAAAAGCCGUAGAGAUGCGGUGUCCUUUUGGGCUCUACACAGGUGGUGCAUGGCUGUCGU